CAGCGUCCUCGUGAGUCCCCCCACCCCGUCCCAAGGUGACUUCUCAAAGUCCCACAGAAAGACACUUUUCAAGUCUCAGGGACAUAAAGGACCACGAAACAUGACAGUAUGUGCAAAUACUACACAUACCAGGUAAACUGCGAAAUUUCAACCAGGCUUCUACUUGUUUUGCUCCCCAGCUUUUCCAGCCAGAAACUGAAAAGGAAAGUUCCGUGCGCCCUCUUGUGGGCAGAUGUAGCGCUGCAGGGCCUCGCCCACCCACCCCGGCCCGUGGGAGGAGCCGAAGGAGACGGACCGGGCACCGCCGCCCUCGCGACCCACGUUCUAGCGGAGGCAGACGGGAAAAGAAGCAGACAGAUGGGCAAGGUCCUCUCAGAAAACGAAAGGAAAGAACGUACAAUAGGGCGAUGUGACAGAGUGCCUUGGAGGGGGGAGGUGGCUGGGUAGGGGUACAGGGUGGAUGUUGAAGGCUGGCUGGCUAGGGGAGCAGAUGGCUGAGCUGAGCUCAAAAGGACAAGAAGUUACCAACCACGUUGGAGAGCAGCAGACUCAUGGGGGCGGACGUGCACCGGACAGCUCGAGACUCCUCUGGCCUCGGGGACCUGGUUUCAGGAGCAAGCUUCAGAGGCCUUGCGGAAGUUGAGGAAAGCAAUAGGAUCCCCUCCACCUAUGAGAUCUGGGCACCUGUGAGCUUUGGAGAGAAACUGAUGGAGUGAAAGAAACAAACAGGGGUCAAUACAAUGCUGGGAGCUGCCGGAAAGGAAGGAACACCAAGGUAGGGCGGACGCAUGCCUUUCACGGCAGAGAGUCGGCCGACACUGAAUUGAAUACAAUCCUGUCAAACAGGACAAAUCAACCAGAGGCUCAUCAAUUAAUCUGUGCCUGAUGCCUACACGUACAUGGACCUCCUGAAUGUGAUUUUAACAGAGUCAGCCAGAGCUGCCCGGAAGGAGGAGGUCCUUCCUGGAGCCCCGAC
rnacentral:lncRNA from 1 species